rnacentral:misc_RNA from 1 species
GAAGUGCGAUAAGCAAUGCGAAUUGCAGAACCGUGAGUCAUCAGAUUUUUGAACGCAACUGGCGCUGCUUGGCUAUCCAGGCAGCAUGCUUGUUUCAGUGUCUUGUUUUCUCCUCACCCAAAUCUUAAUGUGAGAGAUACCCUUCUCUUGCUAAGCACUUGCAGAUAAACUGCGCUGACUUUGCUCUCAAUGAGUUCACACUGUAAACAAUGUGACGACUGCAGUGAGUGUGACCUUGACCGAAGUCAAGCCACCUGCGAAGCUCAGAGUGCUUU